rnacentral:pre_miRNA from 10 species
AUACACAUAUAUGUGUAUACACAUAUGUGUGUAUACACGUAUACACACAUAUAUGUAUACACAUAUAUGUGUAUA